GGGUACAUGGUGUAGUUGGUUAUCACAUCCGCGACUCUGUCUGCAGGGGGUGUUGGGUUCAAUUCCCAGUGUGUCCA